rnacentral:tRNA from 1 species
GGGGGCAUAUUUCAACGGCAGAAUUAAGGUCUCCAAAACCUUCGAUCCCUGUUCGAAUCAGGGUGCCCCCG